GUGGGGAAUAUUGGACAAUGGGGGGAACCCUGAUCCAGCCAUGCCGCGUGUGUGAAGAAGGCCUUUUGGUUGUAAAGCACUUUAAGCGAGGAGGAGGCUACCGAGAUUAAUACUCUUGGAUAGUGGACGUUACUCGCAGAAUAAGCACCGGCUAACUCUGUGCCAGCAGCCGCGGUAAUACAGAGGGUGCAAGCGUUAAUCGGAUUUACUGGGCGUAAAGCGCGCGUAGGUGGCCAAUUAAGUCAAAUGUGAAAUCCCCGAGCUUAACUUGGGAAUUGCAUUCGAUACUGGUUGGCUAGAGUAUGGGAGAGGAUGGUAGAAUUCCAGGUGUAGCGGUGAAAUGCGUAGAGAUCUGGAGGAAUACCGAUGGCGAAGGCAGCCAUCUGGCCUAAUACUGACACUGAGGUGCAAAAGCAUGGGGAGCAAACAGGAUUAGAUACCCGUGUAGUCC
rnacentral:rRNA from 1 species